rnacentral:rRNA from 1 species
GGUUAAGCGACUAAGCGUACACGGUGGAUGCCCUGGCAGUCAGAGGCGAUGAAGGACGUGCUAAUCUGCGAAAAGCGUCGGUAAGGUGAUAUGAACCGUUAUAACCGGCGAUGUCCGAAUGGGGAAACCCAGUGCAAUUCGUUGCACUAUCGUUAACUGAAUACAUAGGUUAACGAGGCGAACCGGGGGAACUGAAACAUCUAAGUACCCCGAGGAAAAGAAAUCAACCGAGAUUCCCCCAGUAGCGGCGAGCGAACGGGGAGCAGCCCAGAGUCUGAAUCAGCUUGUGUGUUAGUGGAACGGUCUGGAAAGUCCGACGGUACAGGGUGAUAGUCCCGUACACCAAAAUGCACAGGCUGUGAACUCGAAGAGUAGGGCGGGACACGUGGUAUCCUGUCUGAAUAUGGGGGGACCAUCCUCCAAGGCUAAAUACUCCUGACUGACCGAUAGUGAACCAGUACCGUGAGGGAAAGGCGAAAAGAACCCCGGCGAGGGGAGUGAAAAAGAACCUGAAACCGUGUACGUACAAGCAGUGGGAGCACCUUCGGGUGUGACUGCGUACCUUUUGUAUAAUGGGUCAGCGACUUAUAUUCUGUAGCAAGGUUAACCGUAUAGGGGAGCCGCAGGGAAACCGAGUCUUAACUGGGCGUUAAGUUGCAGGGUAUAGACCCGAAACCCGGUGAUCUAGCCAUGGGCAGGUUGAAGGUUGGGUAACACUAACUGGAGGACCGAACCGACUAAUGUUGAAAAAUUAGCGGAUGACUUGUGGCUGGGGGUGAAAGGCCAAUCAAACCGGGAGAUAGCUGGUUCUCCCCGAAAGCUAUUUAGGUAGCGCCUCGUGAAUUCAUCUUCGGGGGUAGAGCACUGUUUCGGCUAGGGGGUCAUCCCGACUUACCAACCCGAUGCAAACUACGAAUACCGAAGAAUGUUAUCACGGGAGACACACGGCGGGUGCUAACGUCCGUCGUGAAGAGGGAAACAACCCAGACCGCCAGCUAAGGUCCCAAAGUCAUGGUUAAGUGGGAAACGAUGUGGGAAGGCACAGACAGCCAGGAUGUUGGCUUAGAAGCAGCCAUCAUUUAAAGAAAGCGUAAUAGCUCACUGGUCGAGUCGGCCUGCGCGGAAGAUGUAACGGGGCUAAACCAUGCACCGAAGCUGCGGCAGCGACACUAUGUGUUGUUGGGUAGGGGAGCGUUCUGUAAGCCUGCGAAGGUGACCUGUGAGGGUUGCUGGAGGUAUCAGAAGUGCGAAUGCUGACAUAAGUAACGAUAAAGCGGGUGAAAAGCCCGCUCGCCGGAAGACCAAGGGUUCCUGUCCAACGUUAAUCGGGGCAGGGUGAGUCGACCCCUAAGGCGAGGCCGAAAGGCGUAGUCGAUGGGAAACAGGUUAAUAUUCCUGUACUUGGUGUUACUGCGAAGGGGGGACGGAGAAGGCUAUGUUAGCCGGGCGACGGUUGUCCCGGUUUAAGCAUGUAGGCUGGUUGUCCAGGCAAAUCCGGAUAAUCAAGGCUGAGGUGUGAUGACGAGGCACUACGGUGCUGAAGUAACAAAUGCCCUGCUUCCAGGAAAAGCCUCUAAGCAUCAGGUAACAUCAAAUCGUACCCCAAACCGACACAGGUGGUCAGGUAGAGAAUACCAAGGCGCUUGAGAGAACUCGGGUGAAGGAACUAGGCAAAAUGGUGCCGUAACUUCGGGAGAAGGCACGCUGGUGUGUAGGUGAAGUCCCUGCGGAUGGAGCUGAGACCAGUCGAAGAUACCAGCUGGCUGCAACUGUUUAUUAAAAACACAGCACUGUGCAAACACGAAAGUGGACGUAUACGGUGUGACGCCUGCCCGGUGCCGGAAGGUUAAUUGAUGGGGUUAUCCGUAAGGAGAAGCUCUUGAUCGAAGCCCCGGUAAACGGCGGCCGUAACUAUAACGGUCCUAAGGUAGCGAAAUUCCUUGUCGGGUAAGUUCCGACCUGCACGAAUGGCGUAAUGAUGGCCAGGCUGUCUCCACCCGAGACUCAGUGAAAUUGAACUCGCUGUGAAGAUGCAGUGUACCCGCGGCAAGACGGAAAGACCCCGUGAACCUUUACUAUAGCUUGACACUGAACAUUGAGCCUUGAUGUGUAGGAUAGGUGGGAGGCUUUGAAGCGUGGACGCCAGUCUGCGUGGAGCCAACCUUGAAAUACCACCCUUUAAUGUUUGAUGUUCUAACGUUGGCCCCUGACCGGGGUUGCGGACAGUGUCUGGUGGGUAGUUUGACUGGGGCGGUCUCCUCCCAAAGCGUAACGGAGGAGCACGAAGGUUAGCUAAUCCUGGUCGGACAUCAGGAGGUUAGUGCAAUGGCAUAAGCUAGCUUGACUGCGAGCGUGACGGCGCGAGCAGGUGCGAAAGCAGGUCAUAGUGAUCCGGUGGUUCUGAAUGGAAGGGCCAUCGCUCAACGGAUAAAAGGUACUCCGGGGAUAACAGGCUGAUACCGCCCAAGAGUUCAUAUCGACGGCGGUGUUUGGCACCUCGAUGUCGGCUCAUCACAUCCUGGGGCUGAAGUAGGUCCCAAGGGUAUGGCUGUUCGCCAUUUAAAGUGGUACGCGAGCUGGGUUUAGAACGUCGUGAGACAGUUCGGUCCCUAUCUGCCGUGGGCGCUGGAGAAUUGAGGGGGGCUGCUCCUAGUACGAGAGGACCGGAGUGGACGCAUCACUGGUGUUCGGGUUGUCAUGCCAAUGGCACUGCCCGGUAGCUAAAUGCGGAAGAGAUAAGUGCUGAAAGCAUCUAAGCACGAAACUUGCCCCGAGAUGAGUUCUCCCUGAGACUUUAAGUCUCCUGAAGGAACGUUGAAGACGACGACGUUGAUAGGCCGGGUGUGUAAGCGCAGCGAUGCGUUGAGCUAACCGGUACUAAUGAACCGUGAGGCUUAACCUU